UUCAAAACCAAUAUUAAAGGCAACGCCUGCCCAGAUGAACAAUUUAACGGCCGCGGUACCCUAACCGUGCAAAGGUAGCACAAUCACUUGUCUAUUAAUUGUAGACCUGUAUGAAAGGCAAAACGAGGGCCUAUCUGUCUCUUGUAGUAAGUCAAUUAAACUGAUCCCCCAGUCCAAAAGCUGGGAUACCAACAUAAGACCAGAAGACCCUGUGAAGCUUAAACCUAAACUAUUAAAUCUCAUAAUAGCUCCUUUCGGUUGGGGCGACCUUGGAAAAAAAAAGAACUUCCAAACACACUGACUUUACAGUCACCCACCCAGGCCAACAAGCCUAACAACGACCCAGCACAGCUGACAACUGAACCAAGUUACUCCAGGGAUAACAGCGCUAUCUUCUUCAAGAGCCCAUAUCAAAAAGAAGGUUUACGACCUCGAUGUUGGAUCAGGACAUCCUAAUGGUGCAGCCGCUAUUAAGGGUUCUGUUUGUUCAGCGAUUAA
rnacentral:rRNA from 1 species